UCUAGAUAAUCAGACUGAAGUGUGCCCAAAGAAUGUUUAAAAAUCCGAUGACCGAGGCAGAAGAAAAUCCAUUUUGUAACUGUUGACAGCGAUUUGGGCAGCCAGACAUGCAGCACCGGGAGCGCCUGCUUUAUUUUUCUUCUUUCUCCUUGUGCCUCUAGAGCUAUUAUAGUGAUCAGCCUUCCACCCACUAAAAAUGUAAGUCAUCAGAGAACAGGGACUUUGGCUGGUUUUGCUCACGAUUAACACAGUAAGUUUACAAGUAAAUAACUAAUUAAAAAUACAUUAACUUAUAGGGAAGCUUGUUCAAAAUUGAACCUGAGUUUCACAAGUCAUGGUGUGGCUUGGGAAAGGAGGGUUGCGGAUAGAAACGGAAGUGGAGACACAGGAAGGGCUGCAGCGGGAGGGGUCUGAGUGGGGGAAACAGGGUGGUUGAAAGAAAGGAGGAAGGGAAGGGUAGGAGUUCAGCCUGCAGAGAUGGGAGCAGCGUUCUCGAAUGUUCAUGGGAAGAUUAAGUGGGACCCCAGCCAGGGAAAUACAUUCCUACUCAGUCUAUUCCUGUUUUGCAUCUCUUUUGUGGGCUUCAUGCCCAAUGUGGGGCUUGAACUCACAACCCUGGGAUCAAGUAUCAGAUGCUCUACCGACUGAGCCAGCUGGGCGCCCCCUUAUUUGUAUUGUUCUUGAUGAAAAUGUCAGGAUUCAUCUAUUUUGAUGGGGAGUGUUCUUAUUAAAGGAGCCCCAUUGGAAUGUAUUAAUGGCCUUCAUCCUCCUGGUGAAAUCUCUACAGAUAAGGCUCAGCGUGUAUUAUCUCCCAGGGAGUGUUUAUAUUUUAUCGGCGAAGACUUACAAGCUCAGAAAGCCUUCAAGGGGUGAAGAAUGAGCCUCUAAAAGAAAAUUUAAGGGCGCCCGGGUGGCUCAGUUGGCUGGGCGUCCGACUUCGGCUCAGAUCACGAUCUCACAGUUUGCAAGUUUGAGCCCCGCGUCGGGCUCUGUGCUGACAGCUCAGAGCCUGGAGCCUGCUUCGGAUUCUGGGUCUCCCUCUCUCUCUGCCCCACCCCUGCUCAUGCUCUGUCUGUCUGUCUCGCUCAGAAAUAAAGAUUAAAAAAAUUUAAAAGAAAGAAAUUUU
rnacentral:lncRNA from 1 species